CUGUCCCUGGGCAAUGGAAUGUCUCGGUAUAAAACCCGAUUGUACGUUCUAUCUACUGAGAUAGGGAAAAACCGCCUUAGGGCUGGAGGUGGGACAUGCGGGCAGCAAUACUGCUUUGUAAAGCAUUGAGAUGUUUAUGUGAAUGCAUACCUAAAAGCACAGCACUUAAUCCUUUACCUUGUCUAUGAUGCAAAGACCUUUGUUCACAUGUUUCUCUGCUGACCCUCUCUCCACAAUUGUCUUGUGACCCUGACACAUCCCCCUCUCGGAGAAACACCCACGAAUGAUCAAUACUAAGGGAACUCAGAGGCUGGCGGGAUCCUCCAUAUGCUGGACGCUGGUUCCCCGGGCCCCCUUAUUUCUUUCUCUAUACUUUGUCUCUGUGUCUUUUUCUUUUCCAAGUCUCUCGUUCCACCUUAUGAGAAACACCCACAGGUGUGGAGGGGCAACCCACCCCUACAGAAGGGGCCACUGGGGCAGGGAAGAGACAGAUGUUGGAUUUUAGAGGAUCCGGUAAAGGAUGCUACUCUUCUCCAUCCAAGUUUGAAAGCGACUGAGAGAGACACACAACAGUCAGACAGAGAGAGAUCAAAAUAUUUUCCUGUGACUUAAGAGCAAUGGCCAAGCUGGCUUCCUGCUAUCCUACCCUUGAACUUGACAUUCACCCACUGAAAAUGCCCAGUCCCUGGCUCAGUGGGGAUACCAGAGGCUGCUAACUGCCAGGCAGCAACAGACCAAUAAAGGCUUCCAAAAGAGAUGGUGCGCUGGGCUGGGCAUGCCCAGGAGCUCCUCCCACGCUUGGCCAUCAGAUUCUAUGCAAAGCAGACAGCCGUGUAGAAAGUGAUCGGACAAAAGAGCAUGAUUCAUGGGAAUAGACUGAGCGCGGAUACCCAGCAAGUCCUGUCUAUUGAGAUGCUUCUUGGCCUCUCUGUACGGCACUCCUUCCAGCAGAUUAGGAUCCUGAGACCCGGAGAAGUUAAGCAACCUGUCCAAGUUCACACAACAUGCCCACAGGCCUGCAACUUGGUCGGACUUGGCUGUGUGGCUUUGCUGCAGAUGGUGGGUCCAGCUCAGCCCAGCUGCAUGUCUCACCCUGGGGCCCGAUAAUAGUCAAGGAUCUCCAGAGAAAUGGAACCGAUAGUGUGUAUGUGUAUACAGAUGAGGAGAUUUAUUAUGAAAAUUGGCUCGCGUGAUGAUAGAGGCCAAGAAGUCCCACGAUCUGCCGUCUGCAAGCUGAGGACCAGGAAAGCUAGUCAUAUAUGUAAUUCAGACUGAAUCUGAAGGCCCAAGAACCAGGAGCACGUGGAUGUCCCAGCUCAAGAAGAGACAGAGACUUCUCCCUUCCUCUGCCUUUCUGUUGUAUUCAGGCACUUAAUGGGACUGGGUGCUGCCCACCCCUUUUGGCGAGAACAACCUUCUUUUAUUUAUUUAUUUAUUUUCUGAAAUGGAGUCUCGCUCUGUCACCUAGGCUGGAGUGCAGUGGCGCGAUAUUGGCUCACUGCAACCUUUGCCUCCCAGGUUCAAGAGAUUCUCCUGCAUCAGCCCCCCGAGUAGCUGGGAUUACAGGCAUGCACCACCAUGCCCUGCUAAUUUCUGUAUUUUUAGUAGAGAUGGGGUUUCGCCAUAUUGGCCAGGCUAGUCUCCAACUCCUGACCUCAAGUGAUCCACCUGCCUCAACCUCCCAAAGUGCUGGGAUCACAGAUGUGAGCCACCACGCCUGGCCUAAGAGCAACCUUCUUUACUCAGUCCAUUGAUUAAAAUGCUAUUCUUUUCCAGAAACACUCUCACAGACACGCCCAGAAAUAAUACCAGCUAUCUGGAUACCCUUAGCCCAGUUAAGCCUAUAAAAUUAACCAUCACAGGCCUGGACUGAAGGGGCAGCAGCAGCCAUCUGGGAGGUAUUUAUUCUUCCAGUGGCUACAGCAAAAGCAUAAGGAACCAGGAAAGCUAGUUUCAGCUUCUGUUCACGUCUGAACAGCAAGUCCUGGCAAGUCACAUGAUCAAGCUGAAAGUCUAGAAGAAGAGAGUACACUCCAUCCACAAGGAGGCCACGGUUGAUGGGUAAAAUGCUAAACACCACUACAGGGUAAUGAAGAAUUGGGAUCAAGAACUCAAACUUUCACAGAAGGGAAGGGCCCAGGGCUGGGCAACCCAGCCUGUGGCCAGAUAUCAGGGUGGGAACUCUCUAGAAGCCAAGAGUGGCCCCGAGCUCCUUCCAGUUUUGGAAACUCC
rnacentral:lncRNA from 10 species